CAGGCUCAUAAUGACGAGAGCCACCACUGACGAACAUUUGACCUGACUGCGUUGGUCGUAUCUGAGCGCCCCUUCCAUCGUUCGGCCACUAAGAGAGUCGCAUAUUCAAGUGCUGUUGAAGCUUCUACUUCGGAACUGUCGGAAGAACAGGUUUGUUUCUGUCUUUCUAUUGAUUUUUGUGCUGUACGACUCAUUGAAAAGUUGAAAUGCAUCAAGGUGAUGGGAAAGGAAGCCACAGAUGUGUGGGUCCUCAACAAGACAAACCACAUAGAUGAUACCAGGAGUGUCAUUCCAAGGGAAGCACAGAUUUACAUCCUUUUGGAUGAUACAUCCCUUCCUGUUUUGACUGGAAUAACAAUUGCUUGAUAUGCUCUUGCCAGACAGACAAUUCGAUGGUGCCAGUGCUAUCACAGAGAACUGCAUUUCUCACCACUGCCCCAUUUUUUUCUGUAGUAGUUUCAGGGCCUCUCCAGGUAAUCAUCCCACUGACUGUAAAGAUGCCAGAUGUUUGGCUUGUGAGCAAAGAGUCAAUCUUUGUUACUUCCUUUGUUGGUGGAGACAAUUUGAAGUCCCCACCAUGUGGAAGCGCAUCAAGUACUGCACUGCUGUAAUUGAAGAAAAGAGGUCUACUGCUUGAAACUUGUAAGUGCUUUACUACAAUUGGUUUUUGUGUAACCAUGGCAUCAAGAAACAGUUGACAUUUUGAAAAUUCGUGUGCCUUCACCAUGAAGACUUUUUUGGUCUUGGGUUACUUGCAAAUGGACAUCAAAGAAGGUGUUGGUUCAAUCAAUCAAUCAAUUAGAGUUUAUUGUCUAACGUGAGGCGUGGUUGCCCAAUUGCCCAAGGCAGAGGCUCAUCUAUAAAAUGGUAGACUAGAAAUUAACUAUAAUUAAAGGUAUAUUAUUAGAAGUACUUAAAACUUUAUAGGUAAAAAUAUAUAAGUUUAGAGUAUGAAUGAUAAUUGUAAAAUUGUAGGUGAUUAAUAUUGAUAGUUAAAGAGUCUUAACAUUAUGUUCAGUGAAAGAUAUUGCAGAAGAUGAAUAUGAAUAAAAAAUGACAAUGUAGGUGUAUGUACAAUAAAAGUCAACUACAUGUAUUACAUUUAUAGAUUGGUCCUAGAGUGCUAAAAUCGAAAUUCUUAAGUUUACUACAGAAAUCGCUGAGCUUAGAUGCUGUUUUAAUUUCUCUAGGUAAACUGUUUCAAAGGUGAUUAGCUGGAUGAUUGAGUACUCUUCUGUAUUUCAGUGCAGACUUGCACAUACCCUGCCAAAUUUGCAAGAGAAAACAUACAUAUUAGAGUGAUUUUACUUAGCGUCUGAAAUAGUCACUAUACUUUUAGUUGGUAUUAAGUGAUUGUUUUCUUUUGUUUAGUUUAGAGUGUUACACACCAACUGCAAGAUAUUGUUUCUCAGGUUAAAUAAAAUCACUCUAAAAAGAGUUUGUAUCAAAAGUGGUUAGGGCUUGUCCUAUAAAAUUAUAUUGUUUAAUCUCUUUUAGACUAUUCUUGUUUAGCUCUGUUGAUUAUAGCAUCAUAUAAUCAUCUGAGAAGGGCUAGGUCACAGUAUUGAGAUGAUU
rnacentral:lncRNA from 1 species